CCUACGGGAGGCAGCAGUGGGGGAUAUUGCACAAUGGGGGAAACCCUGAUGCAGCGACGCCGCGUGUGGGAAGACGGUCCUCUGGAUUGUAAACCACUGUCCCCAGGGACGAAGAUGACGGUACCUGGGGAGGAAGCUCCGGCUAACUACGUGCCAGCAGCCGCGGUAAUACGUAGGGAGCGAGCGUUGUCCGGAAUUACUGGGUGAAAAGGGAGCGUAGGCGGGACUGCAAGUUGGGUGUCAAAUCUACCGGCUCAACCGGUAGCCGCACUCAAAACUGGAGUUCUUGAGUGAAGUAGAGGCAGGCGGAAUUCCUGGUGUAGCGGUGAAAUGCGUAGAUAUUAGGAGGAACACCAGUGGCGAAGGCGGCCUGCUGGGCUUUUACUGACGCUGAGGCUCGAAAGUGUGGGGAGCAAACAGGAUUAGAUACCCGUGUAGUC
rnacentral:rRNA from 1 species